rnacentral:tRNA from 1 species
UAUGCCUUAGUAUAAGAUGUACUAAAAUUUUUGGAAUUUUAAGGGAUAGUUUAAUUCUAUUGGGCAUAA